CUGGAGCCUAUCCCAGGGAGCAUCGGGCACAAGAGGCAAAUUACCUAUCCAGCACUUUCUUGGGCCCUCAAUAAAACAUCUGUGGAGGUGGGAGCAGGAAGAGCAGAGCCUGGAGCAUACAGUAGUGCACUUCACUGAGAUACUCGGCAGCUACAUGAUUUUCCCAUGGUUCUGUACUCCAGUACAAAGGUUAGCCACAUCUCCAGAGACCUAUAUGACCUUGGGCAAGCUCAGCUACCUCCUCUCCAUGCUAUCCAGGGGGCAU
ensembl:lncRNA